AUGGCCAAGUCCAUGAACCACACUACACCCAACCACUCCUGCAAAUGACACAGAAAUGACAGAAACCCUGGACAUAAAGAUACGAAUCUCUUAAGGGGGUUGACCCCAAGUUCCUGAGGAACAUGCACUUUGCCAAGAAUCACAACAAGGAAGGCCUCAAGAAGAUGCAGGCCAGCAAGGCUCUUGUGAAGCCUCAGGCCAUCAAGCCCAAUACGCCAAAGGGCCCCAGCCUCAAACUCAACCCUCUGGAUUUAUCGAUCACCCCAAGCUUGGGAAAUGGAUUCAAAGCUACAUGGCCAAGGGUCAGAGGCUCUGCCAACUGAAGCCUGAGGUUCAAGCAAAGACAGGGAUAAAAGCUUCACCUAAGCUUCAGACUUCAGCUCCAUUCCAGGCUCCGUAAGGUGCCCAGGCCCCUGUUGAAGGCCCCAUAGAAAAGGCUCCU
rnacentral:lncRNA from 1 species